CAAGUUUGAUCAUGGCUCAGGAUGAACGCUAGCUACAGGCUUAACACAUGCAAGUCGAGGGGAAACGACAUCGAAAGCUUGCUUUUGAUGGGCGUCGACCGGCGCACGGGUGAGUAACGCGUAUCCAACCUGCCCACCACUUGGGGAUAACCUUGCGAAAGUAAGACUAAUACCCAAUGACGUCUCUAGAAGACACCUGAAAGAGAUUAAAGAUUUAUCGGUGAUGGAUGGGGAUGCGUCUGAUUAGCUUGUUGGCGGGGUAACGGCCACCAGGGCGACGAUCAGUAGGGGUUCUGAGAGGAAGGUCCCCCACAUUGGAACUGAGACACGGUCCAAACUCCUACGGGAGGCA
rnacentral:rRNA from 1 species